GUGAGAUUUUAAUGUGGUCAGUAUCGAAAUGUAGUUAUUUGUAGACUGGUGUCAUAAUUUCAGUGUUAUGAUUAUUUUAGAUAUUGUUAUAUAUGAAGUGUCAUUUUUGGCAACAAAAAAUUAAAUAAAUAAAUGGAAGUCAUAAGAGGUACGAAAAUCAUCAUUUGAAUUUGUGUCUGUGCAGUUUUGUGUGCCAGUACCCAGGAAAAGUCCAGACCGAAAUGAUAGAAACUAGAGGACAUAUGCAUACUAAAAUUAAUUAAUGCCAAUAGCAAAAGUCUGAUAUUCUUGCAAGAAACCACCAAAAACAAAAAAAUGGACGUGGGAAAUUUAGUUCUAGUUAAGUCUAUUCUACAAUAGCCUGAACCCUUCGGCACAUCCUGUCCUCAUCCAGUUGAAUGAGGACAAGCUUGGGACAAGAAGUUCAAAUUUGUGCAGACACUUUGGACGAGGGAUGCAGGGACCUACAACCACUCCUGCCAUGACGUCGGAGGACCACGUCGACCGAUUGGUGCACUCCGUCCCUCAGACACAGGUGACAAUGCCAAGGCCUAAACGAGUUCGAACUGAGAAUGAUUUUUUGUUAUUUUGUGAAUUUAUAUUGGAUUAUGAAAAUUACCAAGUUAUGCAGCAAGAGGAGCAACAUGAAGCAGUUGCAAGUCCUAUGGGGAGCACCAAAAGUAUAGCAGAAAGUAGCCAAUCUGAAGAAUCCACCACAGUUAGUGUUCCUGAGAGUAAAUCAUCAGACUCUGAAUCAGGAUCAGAUGAUGACUCCUAUGAUCUUGUUACGUGUUACUGUUCCAAGCCAUUUGCUGGUCGUCCAAUGAUAGAGUGCAGUAAGUGUUCAACAUGGAUACAUCUAUCGUGUGCUAAAGUUAAGAAAAACAACAUUCCUGAAGUGUUCAUUUGUGCCAAGUGUAAGCAUCAUCGAGUCACUCGUGUAUUCAACUUGAGACAUAAGAAACGUUACAGGUACACUAUGUGAUGGUGUGAAUUGUUUACGUGACGAAACACAGAAAACAUUACAGUAUGUGAUUGUGUGUAUUGUUUACUUGAACUGAGCUUUGGGAAGGACGGGAUGGGGAGGUUCAUUUGCCAAAAACAAUUAAAACAAAGAAUUGAAAAUUGUAUGUUUUUUGGUGUCAUGACUUACAAAUUUAUGUAAGACAGCUUGUUUUACCAGUAACAUGUUAAUGUCAUAUAAUGGAGGAAAGUACUUUACAGGACUGUCAUUAUAAAACUGUGCAGAUAAUAUUUUAUAAAAAUGUUAAAAGAAAUUUGUCUACAACUGUUUUGCAUAAGACUGUUAGAUUAAUAUUUUGUAAAAAACACGUGGGGAAUUAUAUUUAAUCAUAAAUGAAAAUUAUAUGUAGCUUAUUUAGAAUUAUAAAAGCAUUAUAGUAGGGGAGCCCAAUAGGGGAUUUUGGGAUUUACUUGAGCGUGGCAGAGGAACAUAAGGGAGGAUACCUUGCGUUUUGUUGAGUACCUCCACCAUGUAUAAGCCCUUUAUAUAGGAACGUGCAGCUAGGGCAACCCAACAGAAUAGUAAAAAAAAAUCAAUCGUCAUAAAUACUCAAGCGUGUCAGAUUAAGGUAAGGUGAGUUAAUUACUAGCUAAAAAGUAUGCAUUUCAAUAAUAUUGACGAUUUGAGCGUAAUGUAAAAAAGUGGGAGGGUCACAAACUUGCAAAAAAAAAGUCGUCUGGACAUUCUCAAUCGUAGUUUAUUUUUAUUUUGGAGGAAAUAAUGCAAAAAUAACUGGAAAAAGGUAAUCUGCCGAUUUCCACAAGCCGAAGUAAGAAAAAAUUGUCUAAAAAAUUUAGUGCCUGCAGCUGGGGCAAAGCAUGUAUUCCCCACUCCACGCCUCUCGCUCACGUUAACUUUUUCCGUAUCUGUGACUCUCGCACCUGGUUCGCUGGUAAUCACCUACCAGAAGCCUGUGAAGAUGUUGUCAUAACACCAGUUAUUCUAGGAGAUACUUCUGAUUUGGGUAUAUUUCUUUUCAAUACUUUAAUAACACGCUGUUCUUGGAAUAAAUAAAAUAUUGUUAAUUGUUAUAACGAUAACGAUUUCUUGUUACAAAUAUGGAAACCACAGUUAAUAUUGACGGCCCAGUUGAAUCGGUAGAUUUGCAGUACGACGAUAAUUCCUCGGAUAACGAUGAAGAUUGAAAAAAAUAUAUAUUUUUUCAACAAUUAUAUUUUAUUUAAAAUUUUUUUCUGAAUAAAUCAUAUUUCUAAAUAUCUGCUUAAUUUUUUGUGCUUUUAUUUGUCACAUUUCAUGGUUUUUGAAAAGAAAAACAUAAUUCAUAAAAUAAUUUUUUUCGAGUCUCAGAUUAAGAAUUCCCCUCCAAAUAAUCGUCAAAUUUUAGGCUAGCACGACUAGGACAUUAAGCUGAACCGUCUGUAUAAAAAUUUGACACGCUCAAGUAUUUCAAUAUGGCUAAUUAUUUUUUUUCUUCUUUUCAUUUUCAAAAAUUCACUACGAGCUUGUGUCACUUCCGAAUCGUCAGUCUUUUGAAUGGGAGCAUUUUUAGGGUUUACUAAACAUCCCCUCAGUAUAACUGAUUUGCUCAAAUAAUUUCUUUUUUUUUUUCUUUUCAAUUUUCUACCCUUCUUGAUGGCCACCCCUCACCACGCAAGCCGGCAGAUUAAUAUAUUUUUGAUAUCAGAGAUAUGUUGGGGCACCUAAACUAUCUAUAUCUGACAUGCUCAAGUAUUUCCAUGUAAUGGUUUAUUUUUACAUUUUUGAAAACCUGUAGACGCUUCCCCCACCGCUGAAAGAGAAAACAUUAUAUAACCUUUUAUUCUUCCUAUCAUCUAAUCUUCAAAAUACAAGAUGUCCCCACGACGCUCGAGCAAAUCCCCAUUUAGCCUCAUGGGCUCCCCUACUAUUAUAUUGUUUUCCUGCUUUUGGUGCAAUUCAAUGUUAAAAAGGUAUUGUGUAAAUAAAUUGUGCUAAAAUAAUUAUUGCUUAGUUGUGAAGAAACUCCUGAACAUCUGCUUGUGGUUUAUCAUGAAAACUACACACUUACAUUUUCUUUUGUAAUAUUGUAAAUAUCCUAUGAUUGGAACUUAUGUUUACAGUUAGCAAAUGCAAAAAUAAAUCACAGAAAGACUGUUUACAA